AUGUCUCAUUCUGAACCAGUCAGAAGAGGGAAUUCAGUUGGUAGAGGAGUCCUGCUAGAAAAUCCUGGAAUGCAGCCAGGAAUAGGAAGUUCCAUCAGAGGAGGAAAUGCAGCUACCUCAGAAUUUAGGGGAAAUUUUACUGGUGCUAAUAGAGACAAUUAUAGUAGCCAAGGAGAUAUCAAUAGAUCAGAUAGUUAUAACACUGGUUCUUUUGGUAGAGGGAGCUCUUGUGGGAGGGGAAAUAAAUUGAGUGACUCUUAUAAUCAAGAUUUUCAGACUGGAAACCUUGGGAAUGUGGUCGGAAGAGGACAAUCUAAUGCUCAGUUAAAAUCUACUGGUCGAGGAGUUGCUUCAAACCAGUUUAGCUCAGGAGAAAACGCAAAUAAAGAAAAAUCCAUGGGCAGAGGAAAUCUGUACGUUUCAAAAUCUGUCGGUCACGGAAGUCUUUUUUCUCAUCCUGGAAAUGGUGACUACGAUAGAACCUCAGUUGGCCGUGGAAGAGCGAUGACAAUGAUGCAGUCCACGAAUAAUUUCAGAGGUAAGUUUCAACCAGAAAUUUCUCAUGAUUCAUUUCAGGCCGUCUACGACAGCUUCAAGGAUUUACAAAUCGUAGACUUCAGUCCAGCCUCUAAUCCUUCUGGUAAAAAUAAACCAAGAGCAAAUUUCGAAGUUCCUUUAGUCGCAGGCUCUCUUCCAAAACCUAGUCCCUUCUCUACAGCAGCCUUACCAGUGGACGUCAAUGUUAAUCCAAGUGCAUCCAGCAUGAAUAAGCUAAGAAGAAAAAAAACCAAAAGAAGAAGAAAAACCAAAAGGAGAAAACUGUUGAACAGACUUCAUCGGAGCCCACUGAGGUUGACUCUUCCGCUGGAGCAGAAUCCAUUAGCAAAAGCUCUCAGCAACCACAGAGUGGUCCAAACAUUAAAAUACUUGACAGAAGUAUGGAUCCAAAAAAGUACUUUGGAGGUGAUAGUUGUAAAGAUUUGGAACCCAAGCAAGAUUCUAGCCUCGACAAACCAAACUCAAAUAUUAGUGACUCUAAAACUGCUCUGA
rnacentral:lncRNA from 1 species